AUGUUGUGAAAACCUUACAUGUCUUCCAAACAACAUGGGUUCUCUUAAAUCCCUUACACAUUUAGAGAUUUCAGGUUGUAAAAACCUUACAUGUCUUCCAGACAACAUGGGUUCUCUUAAAUCCCUUACAUAUUUAAAGAUUUUAAGAUGUAAAAACCUUACAUGUCUUCCAAACAGCAUGGGUUCUCUUAAAUCCCUUACAUAUUUAAAGAUUUUAAGAUGUAAAAACCUUACAUGUCUUCCAAACAGCAUGUGUUCUCUUAAAUCCCUUACAUAUUUAGAGAUUAAAUUUUGUAAAAACCUUACAUGUCUUCCAAACAACAUGGGUUCUUUUAAAUCCCUUACACAUUUAGUGAUUUAUUAUUGUCCAAAUCUCACCUCUCUUCCCAACGACAUGGGUUCUCUUAAAUCCCUUACACAUUUAAAGAUUUCAUCUUGUAAAAAGCUCACAUGUCUUCCAAACAACAUGGGUUCUCUUAAAUCCCUUAUACAUUUACAGAUUUCAUAUUGUGAAAACCUUUCAUGUCUUCCAAACAACAUGGGUUCUCUUAAAUCCCUUACACAUUUAGAAAUUUCAAAUUGUAAAAACCUUACAUGUCUUCCAAACAACAUGGGUUCUCUUAAAUCCCUUACACAUUUAGAGAUUUCAAAUUGUUAAAACCUCAUAUGUCUUCCAAACAAUAUGGGUUCUCUUAAAUCCCUUACACAUUUAGAGAUUUCAUUUUGUGAAAAC
rnacentral:lncRNA from 1 species